UAAUAGUGUUUUUAAUGGAAACGCCGCAAAAAGAGAAAAUCAAAAUCCCCAAAUUUUUUGGUUACCCGCUCGUUACUCCCUCUUCUUCUUAUCUCCAUCGCGCGCCUAAAUCCCCCAAAUAACUCUCAAAAUUUGCCCCCAAAUUUCCCAUUUCCGGCAACACCAAGUCAAUACAUCUACUGUAUUUGUUCGGCUGAGAAAAAAAGGGAAAGAAGGAGGUCGGGAACCGGCGAAGUUCGUCGGAUUUCAUCUAUUCGUCAUCGGAUCUUCCAAAAAAAUAACUCUUUAUUUGAGUUUCGAACGCGGAUAUAGAAAAGAAUCGGGAAAAUGAAGGGAUCUGGACCUCUUGUUGCGACCGUGCUCGUUGCGUCUACGGUGGCUUUCACUUCGUCUUCAUCCGUCGAAGUCCAACAUGUUUCUUUUUCUCCAACCUCCUCCAACCAGAUAUUUUACUGGGAAAAUUUGGCUGCUUAAAUCUAUUAAUUCGAGUGCCUUGCUUCUGGAUCUAGAUUUGCUCAUUUAAUUUCACUUUAGGAGCAUGAUUCAUUUGCUUUAAUUUUAAAUUAAAUAUUUAGUUCUUGAUAUUAACAUGGAACAAUUGAUUGUGUAGGAGUCACAGAACAUUGCAUCGAGGAAUCGUACGACGUUAUUUAGGAGUGUGGGUUUGGCUGAGGGGCAUGGUAGGUUCUCCCAUGAAUAUUAGUCCUGUGUAGAAAGGGCUUGCAGAUUUUACCCAGAAGCUGAGCUCAGCCACAACUGAAUUGGAGAAAGCUAAAGCACAGAUUGGGAUUGAUGUUCAUAGCGCACUAAACUCAGCUCUCACAGGCUAACCGUUGUUUGCCAUUAUGUUCAUUGGAGUUAAGAAGGAAAAAGGAUGCAAUAGCACGAGGUGACUGAGAUUUCGUUUAACAAUUUUCUUUAUUGUUGGAACAAGUCUUAACCAAGAUCAAGAUCAAAGUACUUCACUAAGUUAUAUAUGCAGGCAUUGCAAUACUUUGGCUUCAUCUAAGCUUGAACCAGCCGUCUGUUGUAUAUUGUUUCUUCUUCUUUUCUGAUAUUUUUCCUUUGAUUAAUAAGAGUUGACGAUGAUGAAUUUUGUUUUAGAAAUUGUAAUACUUUGUGUGUGUUUUUUUUAUGUAUUAAAUUACAUAUUGAGUCAAUGUAUAAGUAUUAAAUUUAAAUUCAUUUAUUUUUAUAUUUAAUUUUGAAGUUUAAAUUUUAAUGGAAAA